CAGAAGGCCAUGCAAGACAUUGGAGAUGGAGAUGAGGAAGUGGUGGCAACCUGUUCCAACAACUCGCCAGAAAAGUUUUGCUGUGAAGGGCAGCAGGCGGGGUCUUGCUGUGAUGCACAAACUCAUCCUGAACUCCUGGCUUCAAAGUGGAGUCUCCCAAAGCUCUGUCCAGUGGUGCUGUCAUAACUCACUGCAGCCUCGAACUCCUGGGCUCAAGUCAUCCUCCUGCAUCAACCUCUGGAGUAGCUGAGAUCACAGCCAUAUACCGCUAAGUCACUACUGACCCUUCAUUGGAAUCUGUAACUGGCGUAACCUCUACAGUCCUGUGAGUGGUACUGUUGGGGAUUUAAGGAGCAGAGCAGUUGAAGCGAAGCGCUGCCACCCUGGCAUUGCCAUUCCCCAUGGGUACUUCUCCAAGGGAAAUUGGUCAUGGUCAUCCAGACAGAGACCAGCAGCCGAGUGGAUUUGAGCU